rnacentral:lncRNA from 1 species
UUUAUCCUAAACGUAUAGAGAUGUUUUUAGGAAAGAUAUAACGUUGUAUAAGGGUCUAAUGAGUUCAUGAGUGGUCCUUGGGGUAGGGAUGGAAGUUGUCUAUAAGGGUAUAGCCUCUCAAUGUAUCUAAGCUAAUAUAAUUGAUGUUGUUGAUUACUAAUAUCCUUGAGUUGUUGAAUUCUGUUUGAACGUUUUGAAUGGAGCUUGAUGUAUGAACAUGAUUAAGAUAAAUUGUGCAUUUUUCUGGAUUGUUGGAUUGAUUAAUGAUGAACCAUUGAUGACUGUGUUGUAUGUUUACAUUCAUUAAAUCAUACAAGUGUGGAGUUAUGGAGAGUUGAGUCAUAUACAUAUAUAUGCAUUUGUUGAGUUGUAUGUAGAUAUACACAGGUUGGGUAGUUGCAUAGCAUCAAAGUGGGAGAGCUUCGGCUCUGGAACGCCUUGUCGUUCAAAGCGGUGGAACACUAGUUGUUCAAAAGCGGUGUUGAGCGGUGAGGACUUAGGUCCUGAUGAGAAUGCUUUAACCAUUCGACAGCGGUGUGGGUCACGGCCCUGAAUAUGGUACCACAUGCAUAUUUGCAUUUAUCAAGGAGUCUAGGGUGUUGUUUUAGCGGUGUGGUCAUGACCUUUGCAUGAGUCGGUGUUGUUGGUUGUAGUUGCCAUAUUGACGAUGAUGAUGUUGUUUGUUAGAUGAAGUAUAUAUUUAUACAUAUAUGAUGAUGAUUUGAUUUGAUGAUGAUGAUGUUGUUUUAUGAAGUAUAUAUUUAUGAAUAUAUGAUGAUGAACUGAUUAUAUUUAGGGUGUUAGAUUCAAUUGACGAAUUUUAAUAUCUAUAUCUUAUUGUUGUGAAUCUCACCCCUUCUGCUUGAAAAUGUUGCCCUUCCUAUGGGUAACUUGCAGGUGAUCCUGAGUAGUUGGUGGUGGCUCAAGUGUCUAGGGCUCUGAUACAUUUGGG